AGUGAACGCUGGCGGUAGGCCUAAUACAUGCAAGUCGAACGGACGCACAGUAAGCGCUCGCUUCUACGGUUGGCGAGUGGCGGACGGGUGAGACAUACAUCGGCAUCUACUAUUUCGUGGGGGAUUUCGUAGGGCCAGUUCCGAUACUACAGAAUAUGUUCUACGGGUGAAUGCAGGAGUUCUACGGACUUUGCGCGAUUGAAUGAGACGAUGCCGCAUUAGAUUGUUGGCAGGGUAAAGGAACACCAAGGCGACGAUCCGUAGCUGGUCUGAGAGGAUGAUCAGCCACACUGGAACUGAGACACGGUCCAGACUCCUACGGGAGGCAGCAGUAGGGAAUAUUCGACAAUGGGCGCAAGCCUGACCGAGCCAUGCCGCGUGAGUGAUGAAGGCCUUCGGAUUGUAAAACUCUGUUAUUAGGAAAGAAAAGCUGCGUAAGAAACCCCCCCUGUUCUGACGGUACCCAAAGAGAAAGCACCGGCUAACUUCGUG
rnacentral:rRNA from 1 species